GCCGGGCGCGGUGGCGGGCGCCUGUAGUCCCAGCUACUGGGGAGGCUGAGGCAGGAGAAUGGCGUGAACCCGGGCGGCGGAGCUUGCAGUGAGCUGAGAUCGGGCCACUGCACUCCAGCCUGGGCGGCAGAGCGACUCUGUCUCAAAAAAAAAAAAAAAUCUACUUCAACGAUAACUUUUUUUUUUUUUUUUUUUUUUGAGACGGAGUCUCGCUCUGUCGCCCAGGCUGGAGUGCAGUGGUGCGAUCUCGGCUCACUGCAAGCUCCACCUCCCAGGUUCACACCAUUCUCCUGCCUCAG
rnacentral:SRP_RNA from 1 species